GCGCCAGAUGCUUUCAAAUUGGUCAAGAGGAUUCUUUUGGUCACCUUCUCCCUCUAAAAAGUUUUCUUAGAAGCGGAGGUCAAUGCCUAUAUUUUUCUCUAUCGAACUAAGGUCAGCUGCUUUAACAUCUUGCAGUUUGUGAGAUCUCUAUCCAAACUCUUCCAAAAUCCAAACUAUUAACCUUAUUAUAUAUGAGUCUUACCCAGCUUUUAUUUUGGCAAUUUCUGCAGUUUUCCUGACCAUGUGGCUUUUUCUUAUAAUCAUAACUCAAGGGCCCAAGCUUUAUUUUGAGGACCCUUCCCUCCACUCAAUCUCAACAUGCUCUCCCUUUUUCACCGAAAAGCUUACGGUAAUAAUAAUGAAGUCACAAACUUCACUGACUUUUUACAUUAGCCCUCCUCAAACAAACUCCAUCCUCUAUUACCCCAUACCCCAAUCUCAGAAUUUAGAGAGAGAGAAAGAGAGAUGCUGGUUCAUCAGAGUUGCAGACUUUCCAGUAAGUGAACAUCUUUCCCCUAUUGCUGUGUUUCUCAUUUUUGAUGUGUUCAUGAAAUUCUUUCUGUACUGUCCUGUAAAAGCAUGUCAAUUUUUCAAUAGGAAACAGUAGAAUUCAGGCAGCACGUACCAAAUGCAUUUCUAAUAUAGAGAGAGGGAGACUGGAAAAAGCACAGUAAAAGCAUAGAAUCAGCCUUAACUCUCCUGCUUAAAGAGAGAGAGAGAGAGAGAGAGAGAGAGAGAGAGCAAGCAGUUUGCACGCAAAACCAACCAAUUUCAUUUCUUUCCAAUCCUGAACAUAGGGGGAGCUACACAUGAUAACCAAAAAAUAAGAAGAAGAAAACCUUUUUCUUCUUCUGUGGGAGCUACACAUGAUAACCAAAAAUAAAUAAGAAGAAAACCCUUCUUCUCUUCUGUGCCUGCAGAAAGCAGACAUGUAUACACACUCAAAAGGCUUAUUUGCCCUGCACACCAAAAAAACAAAUACCAAUCCACCAAUCCACUUCAACUGGUCAAUCCUAAUCUUACUCUUUUCUUCUUUCCUUUUUUUUGUUUUUUUCUCUGUUUUUCUUUCUGACUACUUCUCUCUUUUUCUCUCAGUGCCGACUAUACUUACACUCACGGACACAUUAUGUAAUUCUUCAGUUUCUGUACAUAUAAAACUGAUAAAGACCUGACCAUUUAUCACAAAAAGACGAUAAAAGAACACACAUUCAUAAGAUAAGAAAGAAUGGUGAGUAGACCCCCUGUGUGUUUUUGAAGAGGGAUAAAGGAGGCUGAAAUCAAAGGGCAUGAGUAAGUGCCCUCCUGCAAGAUGGUGGGGAUGUCUUGUUAGAAGAGGUCGGAAUGGAGGUAGUUUUCUGGAUUGGCGAUGGGGUCGCCAGACCGAAUGUACUUAAUAGGAAUUGCCUCUCCUGAAGAAUGGACAGACACCAUGUUAGAGAAAGAGAGAGAGAAAGAGAGAGAGAGAGAAAGUGUGUGUGUGUGUGUGUGUAUUGGAAUGUGUAUUGUAUUAUGUGCAUUUCUUUUCCUACUUGGAAUGUGUUUUGUAUAUGUGCAUUUCUUUUUCUACUUUCUUACCAUUAUUCAUGAUAAUUCUUUUUUUUUCUACACCUACAUACAUACACACAGAUCAAUGGAAUCUAGUGUUUAACUAAGCUACUGCUGAAUGGAACUGGCAGAACUGAUGGAACCCAUUGCAUGUGAUAGAAGAGAGUGUCAAUGGUGAUAAGUUAGACAAAGCUUGAAAGGAGAAAUGUAGAGUGUCAAUGGUGAUAAGUUCGGCAAAGCUUGAAAGGAGAAAUGCAGGGAAACAGUAAAGGUACGUGUUUUCUUUUCUUUUUUUUCUUUUUUUAAAUAUGAAAUAUGUUUCACCUCAUACAAUGUACUCAACUUAGAAAUCUCAAGAGAUUCAGGGGAACCAAGAGAGCCUAUGUUUUUUGAAAUAUGAAAUAUGUUAACAACUGUGUUUCCUCAAUAGUGAGAAUCUUUAGUUUUAACAAGAAACAUGCCACUGUUUUCUUAUCAUGUCCAGUGGCCAGUGCUUCUUGCAAACCACAGUCAACUAUCGUCAUCUUUUCGAACAACUGAAAGAUAAAUAUACGUUCCAAAUAUUGUAGUGUAGGAGUUUAUACAUUACACAAACCAACUAAUUUGGAUGUAUGAGGUACAGGAAUAUUGGUCUUUCCAGGGUUCUCUUCUGCCCAACAAGUGAUAUGCAUAUCUGCAGGUAAGAAAAAUUCCUGCACCUCCCUCUCUCUCUCUCUUCCUCUACUGGUACGUACGGAGACGAAGGCCAACUACCGNGGGGUAAAUGGGNNNNNNNNNNNNNNNNNNNNGUUACGUUACGUUACGUACGUACGUACGUACGUACGUAGUAGUACGUAUACGUACUACGUACGUAACGUAACGUAACGUACUACUCCUCCUCCUCCUCUCUCUCUCUCUCUCUCUCUCUCUCUCUCUCUCUCUCUCUCUCCUCCUCCUCCUCCUCCUCCUCCUCCUCCUCCUCCUCCUCCUCCUCUCUCUCUCUCUCUCUCUCUCUCUCUCUCUCUCUCUCUGCAUAUUGUGCGUGUGCAUGUGUGACUUAAACAUCAAACAACAGAAUAAACUGAGGGAACAUUUAGCAAAUGCUUCUUACACUGUCUGAAAACUGUGGACUCGGAAUACCAUCAGCGAAUGACCGAAAAAAUGGGAUCAUUCGAAGAGGAGAUGAGAACUCCACAUUCACUGAGAAACACGAGAACUUUCCAUCUUCAUUUGGCUGGAUGCAAGAUGAUAAUAGCCCCUCUGCAUCAAAAACCAAGACUCAAUCCAAUGCCAAUCCCAACAAAGCCAGACAAAACCAUAAAAAAAGAGGGGGGUCAUGCCUGUAGAAUAACCAUCUUCAAUUCCUUGAAUCUCUUCUUCAUUUUUCUCCCCAAUGCAAUCAUCUGUGUUUUCUUCCUUGUUAAAGGCUACGCAUUCUUCUGUUUGUCUUUGAUCUAUUUUGGUUAUUUCUGCAUUAGACUGGGGAUUUGAGAUGGCACUGUCUCCAGAAUUUGCUGAUAGGUCCUCAUACAAUUCAGAUUGCCUAUGCAAUGAAACCGACCAUAUUUUGUCACCAUCUUGGGCUGUCAAAUUACUAUAGCUUCUUGAAUAAUAAUUGGCUUAUUACCUCAAUGGAAAAGGGCUCCCUGUUUGACUGCUUUUCAAAUCUGUAAUCAAGUUUUUGAAGUCUUCAAAUAGUGGAUCAAGACCGGCAACUUUGUGUCUCAAAAUAUCUGAAUCUCCACUCUGAGCUAAGAACUCCUGGAGUUCCUGUAGUUCACAGAACAUUAAAUAUGAGGUACAAAUUUAAGAAAAAUGUUUAUUCAAAUUAAAGAAUAUUUUUUGAAAUUAAGUUCUUUUAGUAAAUAUUAUUGUUUCUAAUGUAAAGUGAGCAGCUUAGGGUCCAUUUGAUUGUCAAAUUAGAUCCAAGGAGUUUUUUUUUUUUUUUUCUCAAUUUAUAUUUGACCAAAUCAUAUUUUGGUGAAUUUUCAUUUCCUGCUUACAGGUGUGUGAUUGUCCCAAUUUGAAUUGCAAUUUUUUAUUGUGCGGUGCAAUGGUUAGGUGUGGCCAUGUGCAACGGAGGUGGUAGUGGUGGAGUGGUGGUGUUGGUGGUGGCAGCAGUGGAAUGGUGGUGGUUGUGGCUGGAUCGUGGUGGUUAUGGCAGUGCGGUGGUGGUCGUGGCAGUGCACUGGUGUUGGUGGCGAUAUGGGUGGCAAUGGUGGUGGGGUUUUGGUAAAGAGAGAGACAAUUGAUGCAAAAACCACUCCUAGUGGUUUUUCCACAGAUGACAAUUGGGGGUCGAAAAAUCAAUUGCAAUUUCAAAAUCUAACAGACCUACAGGGUCACAUUGUAAUUGGCCAGAUUUGUAAUUUGGUCCAAGUUACAAUUUGGCCUCAAUUUGGCUAGAAAUGAAAUGCGCCCUUAGUAUGUGGUUAUGGCCUUAAUGUGAGACCAAACUGAGAACAUGGAUCAGAAAUGCUUUACGAUAUUUGCAUUUGCUC
rnacentral:lncRNA from 1 species